rnacentral:misc_RNA from 1 species
GCAAACUUGGUCAUUUAGAGGAAGUAAAAGUCGUAACAAGGUAACCGUAGGUGAACCUGCGGUUGGAUCAUUAACAAAUUGAAAGAAUUUGCUUUGAUUUUUCAAGCAUUUUCUCAACAUUCUUGUGAACCGUUUAUUGUCUCUUGGGUAGGUGCUAGUUGGUUCUUUUUUUCUUUCAGGAAAUAAGAGUUAGUUACCCUACCCAACAUUAAAUUUGAACUUUUUAUUAAAACAAUUUUGUCUUGAAUAUUUUUAUUCUAAUUUAAAACAACUUUUGACAACGGAUCUCUAGGCUCUCGCAUCGAUGAAGAACGCAGC